rnacentral:rRNA from 1 species
AUUGAACGCUGGCGGCAUGCCUUACACAUGCAAGUCGAACGGCAGCACGGGUGCUUGCACCUGGUGGCGAGUGGCGAGCGGGUGAGUAAUACAUCGGAACAUCUCCUGUAGUGGGGGAUAGCCCGGCGACAGCCGGAUUAAUACCGCAUACGAUCUACGAAUGACAGCGGGGGCCCUUCGCGCCUCGCGCUAUAAGGUUGGCCGAUGGCUGAUUAGCUAGUUGGUGGGGUAAAGGCCUACCAAGGCGACGACCAGUAGCUGGUCUGAGAGGACGACCAGCCACACUGGAACUGAGACACGGCCCAGACUCCUACGGGAGGCAGCAGUGGGGAAUUUUGGACAAUGGGCGAAAGCCUGAUCCAGCAAUGCCGCGUGUGUGAAGAAGGCCUUCGGGUUGUAAAGCACUUUUGUCCGGAAAGAAAUGCUUGGCCCUAAUACGGUCGGGGGAUGACGGUACCGGAAGAAUAAGCACCGGCUAACUACGUG